rnacentral:rRNA from 1 species
AAAGAUUAAGCCAUGCAUGUCUCAGUAUGAACUAUCUAUUGUGAAACCGCGAAUGGCUCAUUACAACAGCCAUAGUUUACUGGAUAUAUUCCAUUACAUGGAUAACUGUGGUAAUUCUACAGCUAAUACACGCAUCAAAACCCUGACUUCGGAAAGGGUGCGUUAGUUACUUCAAACUGACUAGACUUCGGUCUGGCUCCAAGUGAAAUUGAACUAUUUAGCUGAUCGCACGGUCUAAGCACCGGCGACAUAUCCUUCAAAUGUCUGCCUUAUCAACUGUCGAUGGUAGAUUAUGCGCCUACCAUGGUUGUAACGGGUAACGGAGAAUCAGGGUUUGAUUCCGGAGAGGGAGCCUGAGAAAUGGCUACCACAUCCAAGGAAGGCAGCAGGCACGCAAAUUACCCACUCCCGGCACGGGGAGGUAGUGACGAAAAAUAACAAGCUGGUCUCUUUGAGUUCCGGCAUUGUAAUGGGAACAACUUAAAUCAUUUAUCGAGGAUCUAUUGGAGGGCAAGUCUGGUGCCAGCAGCCGCGGUAAUUCCAGCUCCAAUAGCGUAUAUUAAAGUUGUUGCGGUUAAAAAGCUCGUAGUUGGAUCUACGAUCAAGGCUUGUGGUCGUCCUUCUCGGAUGUACUGCUUAGUCUGGUCGAAUUAUCUGGUGAACGAUUGAUGCUCUUCACUGAGUGUCUCUAGUUGCUGGAACGUUUACCUUGAAAAAAUUGAAGUGCUCAAAGCAGGCUUACGCCUGAACAUUGUUGCAUGGGAUAAUCGAAUAGGACUUCGGUUCUAUUUUGUUGGUUUCGGAACGCGAAGUAAUGAUUAAUAGGGACAGACGGGGGCAUUCGUAUUGCUGCGUUAGAGGUGAAAUUCUUGGAUCGUAGCAAGACGACCUACUGCGAAAGCAUUUGCCAAGAAUGUUUUCAUUAAUCAAGAACGAAAGUUAGAGGUUCGAAGGCGAUCAGAUACCGCCCUAGUUCUAACCGUAAACGAUGUUAACUAGCGACUCGCAGGCGUUACUUUAACGGCCCUGCGAGGAGCUCCCGGGAAACCUAAGUGUUCGAAUUCCGGGGGAAGUAUGGUUGCAAAGCUGAAACUUAAAGGAAUUGACGGAAGGGCACCACCAGGAGUGGAGCUUGCGGCUUAAUUUGACUCAACGCGGGGAAACUCACUUGGUCAGGACACUGUAAGGAUUGACAGAUUGAAAGCUCUUUCUUGAUUCGGUGGAUGGUGGUGCAUGGCCGUUCUUAGUUGGUGGAGUGAUUUGUCUGGUUAAUUCCGAUAACGAGCGAGA